UUGUUGCUGUGGAUUAUAACUCCAGUAGUUCUCAGCCGAACUUUUUGUUUGCUGAUAGUCAUUAUAGUCAUAGUUCACUCCAGCUGGCAGUGCAGACACUUGCAUUUCUAUAAGGUAUAGACCCAGCGUACUAAAUGCCCCUUGUCACUCUCAGUCUGGCAGGCAGAUUUGCCAACUCUCACAGUCAUCCUCUUUGUGUCUAUAGCACCA